rnacentral:rRNA from 1 species
UACGUAGGGGGCAAGCGUUGUCCGGAUUUAUUGGGCGUAAAGAGCGUGUAGGCGGCCAGGCAGGUCAGCUGUGAAAACUCGAGGCUCAACCUCGAGACGCCGGUUGAAACCAUCUGGCUAGAGUCCGGAAGAGGAGAGUGGAAUUCCUGGUGCAGCGGUGAGAUGCGCAGAUAUCAGGAAGAACACCCGUGGCUAAGGCGGCUCUCUAGUACGGUACUGACGCUGAGACGCGAAAGCGUGGGGAGCGAACAGG